GUGCUCACUUUAACAACACUUAUAGUAAAAUUGGAACAAUAUAAAGAAGAUUAGUAUGGCCCCUGCACAAGGAGGACAUGCAAAUUUGUGAAGUAUUCCAUAUUUUU